GGGGCAACGCCCCUAUCUCCCACUCAAUCCCAAUAUGGCUAUUUUUUCUUUUUUUUAACAAAUUAAAAACAACAAGUCAGUCAACCUUUGACAUGUGGCAAGCAAGAGAAAAAAUAAAUAAAAAAUUGAAAACUCCAAAGGCAUUAUAUCAGAAAAAACUAAGAACAAAUUAGUUUCUCCUCUCUCUCCAACAAGUUUCUACGUGUAAAAAAACAAGUUCUUCUUCUCUCUCAAAUCAAAAUCUCUCAUUCAAAAUAAUUCCUUCAACAACAUAUUAAAUCAAAUCAGUAUGAGCAAAUCAUAAAUGGUAACAAAGUAUAUUGUGGAAAUCGAGAAUCGUUACUUGCGAUGGAAGAAAGUGAUGGUCCGAUCAGAAACAAAGAGGGUGCGCAUAGGGAGGCUUUUUUGUCGACGAGGAGGUUCAUUCUAUGUAGGUGUGGAUGACUGGUGGUUGAGCGACGGAGGUCGGCGACAUGCAUUUGUUGUGCUUGCAACGGUCAUGGUGGUGGCUUUGGAGUGCGGGUCCCAAAGUGCAAUGUUAUGGUCAAAUACAUUUUGAUUUAUCUCCUUGUGUUUUAUGGUGAAGAUGUUUCUAGAGAGUUCUACCUCAUUCUUCAUUUCUGGUUCUGUUUUUGAUUUUUCUGUUAUACAAUUGUUGUUGGUUAUGUUGUUGGAUUUGGAAAUCCACAUGAUUUUUCCGGUUGUUGUUGUUCUUUUUUGAGUUGUUCAUGUGGAUUCGUUGUUGUUAGUGAUAUAUAUAGUGAUGGUUUGCUUAUUAGUAAUUAUUGUGUUUUUUCUUUUGGAUUGAGUUUUUAUAUGUGAUGGAUUUGUAUAGUGAGGAGGAGGAUGAUGGUGAAUUGUUUUGUAUAGGUUUAGAUUUUAUUUUUUUUGGUUGAGUUUUUAUUGAAUUUUUUGUUGUAAUAAAUUUGAAGAAUGAAUGGUAGAACUUUGUGGUUUACGUGAGAUUCCUAGGGAGGUUAAUGUUAAUUGAUAUUUGAAGGAAAAAAACAAAUUUUUAGAAUUUUAACUAAUAUAUAGAAGUAUGGAAAUUGAACUGUUUUAUGUUUGUGAA
rnacentral:lncRNA from 1 species